rnacentral:lncRNA from 1 species
CGUACUCCAAUAAUUAAUCAGCUACACCAACCGUCCGUAGUAUAUAAUUAAGUGGCAAAAAAUUUGAUGGUUGGUAUUUGAAGUCUCAAAUUUGAAUUCUAGUUGAUUCAUAUUUUCGGUCAAAUUUAUUAUUUCUAAAAAAAAUAAACGCAUUAAACGGAUAGAAUGCUAUCUUUCUUUCAAAAAACAAAAAAAAACACCAGCUUCCCUCAGUUCUACUUUUUCAUUGGAUUAUCCUUACCCACUUUUCAAGUACUUUA